CUGAGACUGAACUUGGAUGCAAACUGCUGUAGCUGCCAUUGUCAAGCUGUCAGCGGACUCGUGUAAUUAUCCUCUUGAAAAGUAUCGCGGAGCCAUUAUCCACAAAGUACCCGUUAUAGGUGCUCAGAGGCAACACAUGACGAGGGGCAGAUGUACCUUCAGCAUCCGGUGACGACGUCCACGAGAAGGGGAAGAUGAACCGGCCUUUCUGAUCAAAGGACCCGUCUAUAAAGCUGAAGGCUGGCCUUCCUAGACGGUGAAUCACUGCACAUUGGACUGGAUGUCCAGCCAGGCCCCCC